rnacentral:rRNA from 1 species
AAUGAACGUUGGCGGCGUGGAUUAGGCAUGCAAGUCGAGCGAGAACCCGCAAGGGGGCCAGCGGCGAACGGGGUAGGAAUACGUAGGUAACGUACCCUCGGGGCGAGGACAGCCACGGGAAACUGUGGGUAAUACUCGAUAAACUUCCCAAUCAUUAUGGAAGGGGAAGCAAUGGGUGUGAUUCCACCUGAGGAGCGGCUUACGCAGUAUCAGCUAGUUGGUGAGGUAACGGCUCACCAAGGCUACGACGCUUAGGGGGUGUGAGAGCAUGGCCCCCACCACUGGCACUGAGACACUGGCCAGACACCUACGGGUGGCUGCAGUCGAGAAUCUUCGGCAAUGGACGCAAGUCUGACCGAGCGACGCCGCGUGUGGGAUGAAGGCCUGGGUUGUAAACCACUGUCAGAGGGGAUGAAGUGUACGAGAGUUAUCUCUUGUAUUUGACAGAGCCUCAGAGGAAGCACGGGCUAAGUUCGUGCCAGCAGCCG